CCUACGGGAGGCAGCAGUAGGGAAUCUUCCACAAUGGGCGAAAGCCUGAUGGAGCAACGCCGCGUGGGUGAUGAAGGUCUUCGGAUCGUAAAACCCUGUUGUUAGAGAAGAAAGUGCGUGAGAGUAACUGUUCACGUUUCGACGGUAUCUAACCAGAAAGCCACGGUGAACUACGUGCUAGCAGCCGCGGUAAUACGUAGGUGGCAAGCGUUAUCCGGAUUUAUUGGGCGUAAAGGGAACGCAGGCGGUCUUUUAAGUCUGAUGUGAAAGUCUUCGGCUUAACCGGAGUAUUGCAUUGGAAACUGGGAGACUUGAGUACAGAAGAGGAAAGCGGAACUCCAUGUGUAGCGGUGAAAUGCGUAGAUAUAUGGAAGAACACCAGUGGCGAAAGCGGCUCUCUGGUCUGUAACUGACACUGAGGUUCGAAAGCGUGGGUAGCAAACAGGAUUAGAUACCCCUGUAGUC
rnacentral:rRNA from 1 species